rnacentral:sRNA from 1 species
GCUGGGUGUAGUGGCACAUGCCUGUAAUCCCAGGGGCUCAGGAGGCUGAGGCAGGAGGAUCAUGAGUUCAAAGCCAGCCUCAGCAACUUAGUGAGGCCCUAAGCAACUCAGAGAGACCCUGUCUCUG